UACGUAGACCUCAAGCGUUAUCCGAAUUUAUUGGGCGUAAAGAGCAUGUAGGAGGUUUUGCGCGUUUCACGUUAAAGACCACCGCCUAACGGUGGGAGUGCGUGGGAUACGGCAAGACUAGAGGAGGUUAGAGGUGCAUAGAACGGCACGGUGUAGGGGUGAAAUCCGUUGAUAUCGUGCGGAAUACCAAAGGCGAAGGCAGUGCACUGGGACUUUCCUGACUCUGAGAUGCGAAAGCGUGGGGAGCAAAAAGG
rnacentral:rRNA from 1 species